AUUAAACGCUGGCGGCAGGCUUAACACAUGCAAGUCGAGCGGAGAUGAGGUGCUUGCACCUUAUCUUAGCGGCGGGCGGGUGAGUAAUGCUUAGGAAUCUGCCUAUUAGUGGGGGCAACAUUCCGAAAGGAAUGCUAAUACCGCUUACGUCCUACGGGAGAAAGCAGGGGAUCUUCGGACCUUGCGCUAAUAGAUGAGCCUAAGUCGGAUUAGCUAGUUGGUGGGGUAAAGGCCUACCAAGGCGACGAUCUGUAGCGGGUCUGAGAGGAUGAUCCGCCACACUGGGACUGAGACACGGCCCAGACUCCUACGGGAGGCAGCAGUGGGGAAUAUUGGACAAUGGGGGGAACCCUGAUCCAGCCAUGCCGCGUGUGUGAAGAAGGCCUUAUGGUUGUAAAGCACUUUAAGCGAGGAGGAGGCUACUGAGACUAAUACUCUUGGAUAGUGGACGUUACUCGCAGAAUAAGCACCGGCUAACUCUGUGCCAGCCGCCGCAGUAAAAC
rnacentral:rRNA from 1 species